GAUAUAUUACAGAGGAGUAUCAGCUAUUACUACUAGCUUAUACAAGAUCUGAUUAACCUAUUGAGAAACGAAAUCAAAAGAAAAUCUGCAGUUUGCGUAAACAAAAGAUUGUCAAAAGUUCUAGGCUGUUGGAAAGAAUGAAAGAAAGAAGAAACUCUCAAGUCUUCCAAGGAAUUGACAAUCUAGUUGAACUCCGUGUCCUCUUGGUUUGUUGAGCUGGACGGCAAGUAGAUGGUGUUUCUGUUUUUGUUCUACACUUUUAGGAUUUCUAAGUAUGUCCCUAUGACAGGAAACUGGAAACAACAGAACUCUCCGAGCUAAUAUUAUUUGAUCAAAAAAAUCUCUAGGCACUCGGUUCCCAGGUUCAACUCUAGCAGAAAUUUCAUUAGCUUUCUCCUAAUCUCAAUAAGCAAGAAAAGUAUGUCAUAUGAGAAUACUUCAUAUUGUCACCUGAGCAUGUCUCCAGCAGGCAUUUGCAAGCAACUCAAGGCUGGUGAUAUGCUGAAUGUGUUACCACUAGCAUUAUAAAAUGAAGGGUGUCCAAGAGGUGCUGGUCUGUCUGGAAUUUCAGGAACCUCAAUAUCUCCUUCUAACAUUUUUAGUGCAUCCAAUAUAGUUGGCCUUAAGGCCACCAUCACGUGAGCACAUAAUAUUCCAACAAGGAGAAAUCUCACCAUUAUAGCCCUUGGAUUUGCACUUACGGAAUCCUCAGUCUUUACUAGGAUGGCAUCCAAAACUUCAUUCAUCUUUCCAGCUUUUACCUUCGACCAAGCCCAAUCCGUGAUCAGAAAAGAACGAGGCGAUCCAGAAGAGAAAUCAAGGACCUUCCUUCCACACAUUAUUUCCAAAACAACAACCCCAAAACUAUAAACAU
rnacentral:misc_RNA from 1 species